rnacentral:rRNA from 1 species
UAGGGAAUAUUGCAAAAUGGGCGAAAGCCCGAUGCAGCAACGCCGCGUGGGCGAUGAAGGCCUUCGGGUCGUAAAGCCCUUUUUGAGGGGAUGAGGAAGGACAGUACCCUCAGAAUAAGCCUCGGCUAACUACGUGCCAGCAGCCGCGGUAAAACGUAGGAGGCGAGCGUUAUCCGGAUUUACUGGGCGUAAAGCGCGUGCAGGCGGAUUGGAGAGUUGGAUGUGAAAGCUCCCGGCUUAACUGGGAGAGGUCGUUCAAUACUUCCAGUCUUGAGUGCAGUAGAGGGAAGUGGAAUUCCGGGUGUAGUGGUGAAAUGCGUAGAUAUCCGGAGGAACACCAGUGGCGAAAGCGGCUUCCUGAACUGUAACUGACGCUCAGACGCGAAAGCUAGGGUAGCAAACG